rnacentral:rRNA from 1 species
GACGAACGCUGGCGGCGUGCCUAAUGCAUGCAAGUAGAACGCACAGUUUAUACCGUAGCUUGCUACACCAUAGACUGUGAGUUGCGAACGGGUGAGUAACGCGUAGGUAACCUGCCUGGUAGCGGGGGAUAACUAUUGGAAACGAUAGCUAAUACCGCAUAAUAUUCAUUAUUGCAUGAUAAUUAAUUGAAAGGUGCAAUUGCACCACUACCAGAUGGACCUGGGUUGUAUUAGCUAGUAGGUGAGGUAACGGCUCACCUAGGCGAAGAUACAUAGCCGACCUGGGAGGGGGAACGGCCACACUGGGCCUGGGACACGGCCCAGACUCCAACGGGAGGCAGCAGUAGGGAAUAUUCGGCAAUGGACGAAAGUCUGACCGAGCAACGCCGCGUGAGUGAAGAAGGUUUUCGGAUCGUAAAGCUCUGUUGUAAGAGAAGAACGGGUGUGAGAGUGGAAAGUUCACACUGUGACGGUAUCUUACCAGAAAGGGACGGCUAACUACGUG